GAGCACUGUUUCGGCUAGGGGGCCAUCCCGGCUUACCAACCCGAUGCAAACUGCGAAUACCGGAGAAUGUUAUCACGGGAGACACACGGCGGGUGCUAACGUCCGUCGUGAAGAGGGAAACAACCCAGACCGCCAGCUAAGGUCCCAAAGUCAUGGUUAAGUGGGAAACGAUGUGGGAAGGCCCAGACAGCCAGGAUGUUGGCUUAGAAGCAGCCAUCAUUUAAAGAAAGCGUAAUAGCUCACUGGUCGAGUCGGCCUGCGCGGAAGAUGUAACGGGGCUAAACCAUGCACCGAAGCUGCGGCAGCGACGCUGAUGCGUUGUUGGGUAGGGGAGCGUUCUGUAAGCCUGCGAAGGUGGCCUGUGAGGGUUGCUGGAGGUAUCAGAAGUGCGAAUGCUGACAUAAGUAACGAUAAAGCGGGUGAAAAGCCCGCUCGCCGGAAGACCAAGGGUUCCUGUCCAACGUUAAUCGGGGCAGGGUGAGUCGACCCCUAAGGCGAGGCCGAAAGGCGUAGUCGAUGGGAAACGGGUUAAUAUUCCCGUACUUGGUGUUACUGCGAAGGGGGGACGGAGAAGGCUAUGUUGGCCGGGCGACGGUU
rnacentral:rRNA from 1 species